AUCAGUUCAGGGCAGAUCAGGUGGACGUGACAGUCGAUCGCGCCAGCGGUGAGGAUUCGACCAUUACCAGCCAUGAUCUCCGUCGACGGCCCGAUGACGAGAUGAGGGUGCACACCGUCGGUCGUGUCGGGGUUGCCGGCUCGUCCGAUGGCGGCGAUGCGGCCGUCACGGAUGCCGACAUCGGCUUUCACGAUGCCCCAGUGGUCGAGGAUAACUGCGCCGGUGAUCACGAGAUCAGGAGUGCCUUCGGCGCGGGUAGUGGUCGACUGACCCAUCGA
rnacentral:sRNA from 1 species